UACGUAGGGGGCGAGCGUUGUCCGGAGUUACUGGGCGUAAAGGGCAUGCAGGCGGUCAGACGCGUUUUGUGUGACAGCGGAGGGCUUCACUCUCCGAGCAUACGAAAGACGGUGUGACUUGAGGGCUCGAGAGGGACACGGAAUUCCGGGUGGAGUGGUGAAAUGCGUAGAGAUCCGGAGGAACACCGAAGGCGAAGGCAGUGUCCUGGCGAGUGACUGACGCUGAGGUGCGAAAGCCAGGGGAGCGAACGGG
rnacentral:rRNA from 1 species